AGUGAACGCUGGCGGCGUGCCUAAUACAUGCAAGUCGAACGAAGUGGCGCACGGGUGAGUCAUAUAUAGUUAAUCUGCCCUACACAGAGGAACAACCGUUGGAAACGGCUGGUAAUAACUCCUAGUGUAGGAUGAGACUAUAUCGUAUCAGCUAGUUGGUAAGGUAAUGGCGUACCAAGGCUAUGACGCGUAACUGGUCUGAGAGGAUGAGCAGUGACAUUGGAACUGAGACACGGUCGAAACUCCUACGAGAGGCAGCAGUAAGGAAUAUUGCCCAAUGGGGGAAUCCCUGACGCAGCAACGCCGCGUGGAGGAUGACACGUUGCGGAGCGUAAACUCCUUUUAUCAGGAAAGCGGUACCUGAUGAAUAAGCACCGGCUAACUCCGUGCCAGCAGCCGCGGUAAUUC
rnacentral:rRNA from 1 species